rnacentral:rRNA from 1 species
AGCGCUAUUUAGGUUAGAGUUUGAUCCUGGCUCAGAACGAACGCUGGCGGCAUGCCUAACACAUGCAAGUCGAACGCCCCGCAAGGGGAGUGGCGGACGGGUGAGUAACACGUGGGAACCUGCCCAAUGGUCUGGAAUAACCGCGGGAAACUGCGGCUAAUACCGGAUAAGCCCGAGAGGGGAAAGAUUUAUCGCCGAUGGAGGGGCCCGCGUCCGAUUAGGUAGUUGGUGGGGUAAUGGCCUACCAAGCCUACGAUCGGUAGCUGGUCUGAGAGGAUGAUCAGCCACACUGGGACUGAGAUACGGCCCAGACUCCUACGGGAGGCAGCAGUGGGGAAUAUUGGACAAUGGGGGCAACCCUGAUCCAGCAAUGCCGCGUGAGUGAUGAAGGCCUUAGGGUUGUAAAGCUCUUUUGGCGGGGACGAUAAUGACGGUACCCGCAGAAUAAGCCCCGGCUAACUUCGUGCCAGCAGCCGCGGUAAUCGCC